rnacentral:snoRNA from 1 species
UCUGGAAGCUUUGAAGGUGUUGCUGCUGUGUUACUCGUGCAGAGAGGAGAGAGGCUGUGUCUGCACUCAGUGUCCUGACCUGUGAACAUCUGAAUAAAUGAUUAGCAGCUUAACAUU